AAAAAAAAGCCCAGCCUUUUUUCCAAAUAUUCAUGGAGAAAAAGACAGCUUGAAAAUGAAAAGGAGGGUCUGCAAAGAAGCUAAGGAAAUAGCCAAGAGGCAUCUUCUGAAGCAUCAAAGUUUGAAAUAGCUGAGUGAUCAAGGCAUUGGUCAGUAUUGUCAGGGCUUGUAAAGCUCUUUCCUUUUACAUCCCUGCUUUGUGGAGCUGUGCUCUGUGUGGUAUGCCUGGACUUUCUUACUUACCAACUCGGACAAUUAUCAUUUGGUAUGCCUGUAAUUAUUCCAAGGACUGUUUGUUAGUGGGAAAAAAUAGCUUUUUUCAUUUUAAAAAUUCCACGUAACUAAUACAUAACACAUUUUCCAAAUGCAUUUUGUACAAAUUUUUCCUUUUUAGAAGCAAAGAAAAUAGUAAUGGGAAAAGAAAUCUUGCACAGCAAGAAACAUAUAGCUUUUAGUAAUGUCAUGAAUCACAUAUACACAAUUACUGUCUUUUGCUAGUCACCUCUGCUCUAAUCUGUGAUCACGUGUUAAAGAAAGUAAAAGGUCUUAUGUGAACUAUGUGCAUAGAAAUAAAGUUCUUACGAAGGAAAACACAUUCUCUCUGUAAAAGGACUUCCCUGUUACCUGAAGAAGUGAAAACACUGAGUUGCUUGGCAUGUUGGCAUUAUCUUGAGGAAAAGCAGCAUUCUUAAAGAGCAUCAUGGUGGACAUAGAUUUUUGAGGAAGGAUUUGGUGAGUGUAGUAAUGCUUUCUUUAUCAGCUGAGCCUGAGGUGAAGAAUUGUAUCUAAAAUGAGAUGUGGAAGAAGAUGGGGAGAGGCAUGGAGAAGACACACGAUCAGUGCAGUGGGAGGCCCGGGAGGAGGUACUGGGGCUGAUGGAAUCAGCAGAUACCGCGAUGUACUAUGAAAGCAUCAGAGUGGCAGGGCGAGAAGCUUGUGUUGCGCAGGGUGCAGAGGGAGCUGUAAGUGGAAUUAGAGAGAGGCUGACAUGGGAGAUGUCUUUGCGUUUCCGUUUUGAAUGACUCUGAGGAAGAGCAGAGGAGUGGAGGAGAACAGCUUGCGGUAAUUGAUAUGGGCUGCCUAUGUUUUUGCUGCAUUAAUGCAGUCCCUCUGAAUUCAUGUUCACCCAGGCCACAGAUCUAGAGACCGCUGCUCUUUGACCAACAAACUCGUACACCUCUUCCCCAUAUGACUAUGAGGAAUGGAAGAAAAUGGGAACUGGUUGUCUUUUUGCUUAGGGAAAAUAUGAUAGACAACUUCUUCAUUUUUUUUUUUAAACUAUGUUAGUCUGUUCAGCAGAAUUAGUUCUGUGGUUUUUUGCAAAAUAAGGUGACAUUUUAGAAACUCAACAUUACAUUUUGUAAGAAAGGUAGCUAUACAAAAGUACAGCUCUAUUGUAAAAUCAAGCUGCAAGCAAUGGAAAGUUAAAGGUUUCAGAGAACGCUUUAAAAUUCCUUUUAAAGUUUCUGCUGUAUACAUGUAGAUCUGUCCAUGAAGAAAUACCUUCUGUUAAAGUUCUAAGAAUAAAAAUGGUGUGAUUUUUAGUGGUUUUUUAGAAGUCCCAAUAAAAGUCAUGCUUAUGAAAACCUUUACACUGCAGUAAUCACAGAAGGGCAAACUGUCUACAAUUUCUUUUACUUCUAGCUAGUUUUGUAUAAAAAAGGAUGCCCACGGUAUUUACAAUCCCAAUGUCAAAGUUGUGAAAGUAUCUGAAAAAGAGAUACAGCCUUUGUUGAUUCUUGCGUGUCUGCUGAGAGUCACACAAAACAAACUUAACAAGCCCUGACUUCACUGCGUUUCUAGAAGCAGUUUUACUUUCAGUAGUCAAAUAUGCGACAAGUCAGUAAGGCAGUUCUAACACUCUGAAAAUACCAGUGGCACCCGGCAAAUGCAUUACUAUUUUUUGUGUUUGCCAGUUUUGUGGCUGGUCUGAUAGGACUUACUGAGUAUGUCCCAAUGAACAGUGAAGAUAUGCAUUGAGCAAACACAGUUUUCUUCUUCCAGGCUUUUUUCUCUAGGUUAGUUCUUCAGUAGCUGGUUAAUGUUUCAUGGGGUUGGAUGUUUGCUAACAUUUGGCUGACUGUCGAAUUUGCUAAUUGUUAACCACUGCUUGUUCCUCUGCAAUACUUGUGUACGAAGGGUUACUUCCAUUGUUUAGUAAAAAGCUUUCUUGAGCAAACUUUAAAGACAAAAGCAAAACCCCAAAUGGAGAGAGUUCAGAGAACAGCGACAAGGAAACUUCAGCCUUCUCUGUGCUACCUGCCAACCUAGGGAAGUUGGAGUCUGAUUUGUCACGAGGUGGCAGCACGGGAGAAGGAAAGACUUCAUUUUCCCCUCAUUCUGGCAAACGUCUGCAUCUUUCUUCUUUUCCGAAGUGGAGAAAAAGAUGGUCUUGUACAGGGCUCCCCAGGUGACUCUGUUCCUUUGAAAGUAACUGAAAAGUCAUCACAACUGCUGAAGAAAGUAUGAAACCUCAGGUGGGGGCAGGUGUUGCUUGUAGCUGAAAUUGCUGCCCUGAUUUGAAAUGGAGAAACCAGUUGUAGCUUAAACUUCACCUGAUCAUGGGAUAAAUAAUAAUCGGUGUCUUAGGAGCACAGCAAAUGGUCCCUCUACUGCCAACACCG